GCUCGUUGUGGUAGGAGUGACAAGCUCUGUGUCGGGCGUCGGCUGCCCCCAGUCCCUCACUAUCCGUCGGUUCCUUCGCCAGGUUGCUCUCCCUGUGUGUCCAGAAUCACAGAAUCAGUUUGGCUGGAAAAGACCUCUGAGAUCAUUGAGUCCAACCUAUGACCGAACACCACAGUGUCGACUAAACCAUAGCACUAAAUGCCAGAGGUGGCUUCUAUCCAAGAGGAAGAAACACCAACAGGCUCUGGCUGGCAAAGACAUCAGCUCCAUGGGAAUCCCUAUGCAGCACAUGUGCAGAGCUGAAAAGGUGUUUCCAAAAUCCUGAAAACAUCAUGCCAGAGAGCUGCUCAAGGACCUUGCCUUCCUGCAGUCUACAGAAUUCAUUCCCAUCAGCGAGGUUCUGGAAAAAUCAUAGCAAUAGAAAGCAGGCUGAUUGUCUGUGCUAAGAUUGCAUAAAACAGUGUAACAACUGUGUACCCAUCCUUUUUUCUUCAUGAGAGCCUCCCUUCCUCUAGCGAACAUGCACUGUGGAAAUGCCUGGCUUGACUUCCCAGAAACUUUUCUUUGUUACGCUUCAGCUGUUGCAGAGAAACAUGGUGGUUUUCCAUCCCUUCUGCUGUUUGUUUGAACCCAGGAGUACCUGGUUGUGCAGGUAUUAUGUGUAAAAAGAAAAAAAAAAAAAGGCUGUAAACAGGAAGGAAGAAAGAAGCAUGAAGACACAGCUUGGACUAAAACCUCAAAUCCUCCAAAUUUCCCAUGUGCUCCUGCAGGAGAGAGACAGCAAGGACUGGGCUGGAGUGGCAAGAGUAUGCAAAGGAAUUUGCAUUCUGUUUCAGUGGGUACACUGGUGUGAUUGCAAAUCCAGAGGGAUGCUCAGCUCCUUUCAGGCAGUCUGAAUCAGCCCGGUUGCAUUGACAGCUUGCCUUUUUUAUACCAUACAGGUAUCCAACUGGCUGAACUUGAACCUGCCCUGGAUGCAUAAGUUAUGGUGAAGCAAUAUAUAUUUUAACUUUGGUGCCCUACAAAGUUUGCAAACCUAGUUUGGUGGAGCAGUUGUCUUGGGAACUUCUAUGUAUCCAGGCUUGGGGACUCAGAGGGCUUGUCUUUGCGCAAGAGGCUGAGCUUUUCCUGAAAGCCACUUGUAUGCUGAUGAAGGCUGGGAGAGAAAAAGCCAGACUGAUGAGUGCGUGUAUUGAUGAUAAAUAUGAACCUAAGCUCCUUUCAGGGGUUCAUGCCCUUCAGCUGAGCCUCUCUGAAUAUCCAGGCCCUCUGCUGGUCCAUCUCUCCAUGAAGCAUUUUGCCUCAUCUGAAGAUUAGUGUCAGUGAAAGAUGGGAUCUGUUGCUUUCUGGAUCUGCCUUUGUGUGUUCACUAUAGAAAGAAUCUGACAAUCAGCAGGAACAAGAUGCCUGACUUUUAAACAGUAUCCUGAGCAAGUGCCAAAGGCAAUGUCAGCAGUAAAGGUAAAAGCUUAGGGUGAUGGGGAAGGUCAGCUGAAGCUACUCCAGUCAUCAGCCUUUGCAUUUCUUGAAAAUGUUUUUCAAGUGUAACCU